rnacentral:rRNA from 1 species
CUUUGAAGAGAGAGUUCAAGAGUGCGUGAAACCGUUCGGAGGUAAACGGGUGGGAGCGCGAAGGUCGAACGGAUGGGGAGGGAUUCAACUCGGCGUGACGGUGCGUGCCUUGGCAUGGUGGCUCGGCGCCUUUGCUACGGCUCUGCCGUGGCAGAGGUCGUUGGCUGCCGGCUGGCUUGUCGCCGUCUCCGCCUUGUGCAUUUCCCUGUUCCCCCUCUCCUAGUAGGACGCCGUGACCGGCUGCUGAGGGGAGCCCAGGAGCUGGUGAGGGUAGCUGCGCGGAUGAGUGUGAGAUUCGCUCUCUGCAUCCGGUCUGUCUGCCCCUCGCCGUGCAGCGGGUGCUCUCCCCGGCCGAGGAAUGCUGAAGCGGGAUGUGGACCUUUGCGGUUCACCCCGUCCAAGCGCGUGCCCACCAAAAUUUCUGUGGGUGCGGGUCGAAAGAGUCCAACGGGUGGUUGGUGGACGGCUCGCUGGCCAGCCUCGUUGCUGAUCCAGCGGUCGUUUGUAGCCUCCGCCGUCUGUCAGGGCGCUGACUCCCGCAUCUAUGGGGCGCUGGGGGUCGACGGCGAGUAGGUCGGUUUCCCACCCGACCCGUCUUGAAACACGGACCAAGAAGUCUAACGUGUGGGCGAGUCUUCGGGGACUUUGUGAACCCUUUAAAAUACGAAGGCGAAAUAAAAGUGAAGGUCCUGUGUCGGGGUCUCUCUCUCGGGGGAGGCUCUGGCCGGGGCUGCAGUGAGAUCCCCCGUCUAAGGGCGGGGGCGCACCACUGGCCCGUCCUAUGACCGCUUUGCCGGUCGGGCGGAGCAAGAGCCCACGCGUUGGGACCCGAAAGAUGGUGAACUAUGCCUGGGCAGGACGAGGCCAGAGGAAACUCUGGUGGAAGUCCGCAGCGGUUCUGACG